CGUUAACGCGAGGAGAAAGACAUGGGACUUACACGAUCCUUGAAUGUCCUUUUGAUCGGUGCGGCGUUUCUUUUUGUUUUGUCGAUGCUCUUUAUAUGACGCCUCGACGCACGAAGCGGACGAAACUGGAUUUCUGACCACCUAACAAAAAUAACGAAGGAAUUAGAAAAGCCCAUGACCCGGCCGGUCAUGGGCUUU
rnacentral:sRNA from 1 species